GAUGAACGCUGGCGGCGUGCCUAAUACAUGCAAGUCGAGCGAACUUUUGGGAGCUUGCUCCCAAAAGUUAGCGGCGGACGGGUGAGUAACACGUGGGUAACCUGCCUGUAAGACUGGGAUAACUUCGGGAAACCGGAGCUAAUACCGGAUAACAUUGAAGACCACAUUGCCUUCAAUUAAAAGGUGGCUUUUAGCUACCACUUACAGAUGGACCCGCGUCGCAUUAGCUAGUUGGUGAGGUAACGGCUCACCAAGGCGACGAUGCGUAGCCGACCUGAGAGGGUGACCGGCCACACUGGAACUGAGACACGGCCCAGACUCCUACGGGAGGCAGCAGUGGGGAAUAUUCGCGAAUGGGCGAAAGUCUGACGGAGCAACGCCGCGUGGGCGAAGAAGGCCUUGGGGUCGUAAAGCCCUUUUGUUGGGGAAGAAAAAAAAUCGGUCAAAAAGGGGGGGUCCUGGCGGUUACCAAACCAGAAGCCCCGGCUAACCUCGGG
rnacentral:rRNA from 1 species